UACGAAGGGUGCAAGCGUUAGUCGGAAUUACUAGGCGUAAAGCGUGCGUAGGCGGUCUCUUACGUCCGUUGUGAAAGCCCUGGGCUCAACCUGGGAACUGCAGUGGAUACUGAGAAGCUAGAGUGUGUCAGAGGAUGGUGGAAUUCCCGGUGUAGCGGUGAAAUGCGUAGAGAUCGGGAGGAACAUCAGUGGCGAAGGCGGCCAUCUGGGACAACACUGACGCUGAGGCACGAAAGCGUGGGGAGCAAACAGG
rnacentral:rRNA from 1 species